GCAAGGAGGUAGACAUGCUCCUCAUUGAGCUGCUCGAUGCGUUCAAGUGCUGCAUCAAUCGACAAGGCAAUGAUCGACGUCCACCGGCCGUUUGCCAUGGAUGCGGCUGCGGAUAAACAAAUAUAUGGCGAUUGAGGCUGCCAGAGAAGAAGUAGAUGAGAAGAAAAGAGAGAACGCAAAAGGAGAGUAGGAUGAAAAAACUGACGACGAUGGCAUAGAUUCAAUUUUAUAAAAUUGAAGUGACACAUAGCCGAUAUUAUGAAUAGUAAUGGUAUUUUUCUAAUACCAUAAAUUUGUAGUGGCAUGGGUCAAAUUAACCCUUAGAAAUAUACCAUUUAAG
rnacentral:lncRNA from 1 species